rnacentral:rRNA from 1 species
CCUUUGACGUUAGCGGCGGACGGGUGAGUAACACGUGGGUAACCUACCUAUAAGACUGGGAUAACUUCGGGAAACCGGAGCUAAUACCGGAUAAUAUUUCGAACCGCAUGGUUCGAUAGUGAAAGGUGGUUUUGCUAUCACUUAUAGAUGGACCCGCGCCGUAUUAGCUAGUUGGUAAGGUAACGGCUUACAAGGCGACGAUACGUAGCCGACCUGAGAGGGUGAUCGGCCACACUGGAACUGAGACACGGUCCAGACUCCUACGGGAGGCAGCAGCC